rnacentral:rRNA from 1 species
UACGGGAGGCAGCAGUGGGGAAUAUUGCACAAUGGGCGCAAGCCUGAUGCAGCCAUGCCGCGUGUAUGAAAAAGGCCUUCGGGUUGUAAAGUACUUUCAGUCGUGAGGAAGGUGUUAAGGUUAAUAACCUUAGCAAUUGACGUUAGCGACAGAAGAAGCACCGGCUAACUCCGUGCCAGCAGCCGCGGUAAUACGGAGGGUGCGAGCGUUAAUCGGAAUUACUGGGCUAAAGGGCACGCAGGCGGUUAAUUAAGUUGGAUGUGAAUCCCCGGGCUUAACCUGGGAAUGGCAUUCAAGACUGGUUAGCUAGAGUCUUGUAGAGGGGGUAGAAUUCCAUGUGUAGCGGUGAAAUGCGUAGAGAUGUGGAGGAAUACCGGUGGCGAAGGCGGCCCCUGGACAAAGACUGACGCUCAUGUGCGAAAGCGUGGGGAGCAAAACGAGGGAUUAGAUACC